CGUGCGUGAGGACACGUGAGGGCCGUGCCGGCCAGAGCCCCAGCGUGCGUGGCCUUGCGUGCGUGUACACGCACAUGUGUCCAGGUGCCUACGCAGGUGCCUGACCCUGGGCAAGUUGUUCCGUCACGCGGACCUCAGUUUUCUCAUCUGUCCGACGAAGGGAUCUUUCCGUCUCUGGCUGUUGGUGUUCCUUUAUCCACAACUGCUGAGCACGUUGGGUCCUCUCUUUAGAGCCAUCUCUGCUUAUUGAACAGAGGCAGGAAUUCCAGGCCUUUGAAUUGAUGCGGGGGGUGAGUAGGAGAAGGCAGUGAGGCACGUAGGGGUUUUUGUCUUUUGCUGCCCAAAGCAAUACUCUGUAAUUACUUUCUAAAUAUUUGCAUUUGUAUUCUUUGCAAAACUUUAUUUCAAAAUAAUGUGAAUCUUUAAGUCCUAUGCAAAGGCACCAGAAUCCUUGGUAGUGCUUCCCUACUCAUUUGCAGGAAUCUGGGCAGAACAUGAAUUCCCGGAACUGGUGGGACUUUCCAACCAGUUGCUUCUCAUGCAGAGGCAGAAAAAUGAGGGGGUAAAUAGCUCAGGCCUCAGGGGCAGCCUUCUUGGCCCUUACAGAUCAUUUAAUUGCUGUGCCUCAGAGUCUCUUCUAUAAAAUGGGAAUGAUAAUAGUACCCUAAGUGAUAGUAUUAUUAUUAAAUAUUGGUUGAGUGUUCUCAGCUUUGUCAUAAUACAGCUCUGUGACCUUGGCCCCUUUCCCAGGACCUUUGUUUCCUUAUCAAUAACGGAAUGAAGUACUCAUUUUGCAUGGUUGUGAUGAGCAGGUAGGAUGUUUGUGAAAUCACCUGGUGGUACCUAGUAGAUGCUAAAUAAAUACCUAUUUCCCUUAUUGGAUAAGUAUUGCUUCCCAGGUAACACUUAUCUUCCCUGUUGCCCUGGCCUCAGCAAGGUGACAGUGGUAAGUCAACAGAUCUCUUUUGACAGAGACCUCUCCAGGACAUCUGCCUUAGAGGAAGGAGAGUGUAGGUGUUCAGGAAGCUUUGGGGAGAUUGAUUUACUUCCUGGAGGGCUUUUUGUUAGACCUGAAAUGUCACCACGUGGUUUGCUGCUUCCUCUGCCUGUGGGUGAUGGGGUAGGAGUAGAAGGUGGAGGAGGUACAAGUGUCUUGUUAGGAGCCCCUGGAAGUCACCUCUUUAGAGGGGCCAUCUCUGAGAUACAACGAUUCAUUUUCUGUUAUCCCUAUGUUUUUGUCUCCACUGCCCCCAACUCCCAUGUAAACAGCCUGCUCCUUUGGGAGCCCUGCUUUGGGAGUCUGCUGCUGCAGGCCAGGGAGUAGGAAUUGCUUUCUUUUCUUUUUUCUUCCUUUCGGGGAGCCUGAGUUACUUGAGAUGUGAGUGCCUUUGAGGGAAGAGUCCAGGAAGCACAGCACCCUUUUCCCUGGCAAUGCCCAGGGUGGGCAGGACCUCAGAGGGCUGACUGUGAUGUGUCUGUGACCAGCUUUCUCUGGCAGUGGUUGGCACAGAAGCAGCAGAGCCCCUGGGCUCCUGGGUACUGUGUGGCCUUGCAUCAGGUAUCUCAUUUGUCCCCACUGGGGACAAAUGGCCAGUGACCACGCAUGCACCCCUUCCAAUGAUGCUGGUGAGAGAGAGGAUGGGUGGGUUCUGUUAAUGACCAGAACCGAAUUUCCUGUCUCAGGUGGGAUGGGGGCUCAGAGAUGGAUUUAACUUGAUUUAAAGAAAUUUUUUAAAAAUUAUAUUUCUCAUAUACCUGAAAUCGUGGAGUUUGAUUUAUAGUUGCUAUUUCAGAAUUUUCCCUAGCACCUGCACAGUGUCUUGUAUGCAGCAAGCACUCACUAAGCCCUUCUCCUUACCCUGUGAGUCUACCUAUUGGACUAGUCCUGGUGUUCAGGACUUAAAGUAAUGGGCCAGCUAGGAGUCUCCAGGGCUGGGUAUCUAGACUGCAGGUGCCAUGAGAUGGGUACUCCCAACAGUACAGCCUCAGACACCUUGCUCUGCUUGACAAGAGGUUUGCGGGGAUGAAUGACAGCACCAAGAGCUACCCUGUCUCGAGAGCUUCUGAUCUGCUGGCCUGGUGUGAAGUCCUUGGCACAGGUUAUCUCAUUAGUUUUCACAGCAGCCCUGUAAGGUCCAGACUGUAUUGUCUCUAUUUUGCAGAUGAGAAAACUGAGGCUUGGAAAGAUGGCAGAGCCAGAAUACUGUCCCCGGUGGUUGGACACCAAAGUCACUCAUUUUAAGCACUUAGGACAAGUGACUGAUGGACUGACUGAAUAAAGAAGGUUCAGGGAAGCACAGCUAGAACCUAAAUACACUGGUGAGAAGACAGGCAACUUACCAGGUACCAGGCCUGGAGAUACAACAGUGAAAAAGACAUGGUGACUUUGUAUAUGGCAGGUUCUUGGUAUAUUGGGAAGGCAGAAAGGAAACAAAUAAAUUGCAGCUCGGCAUGGCAAGGGAUGAAAUAGAAGCACCAAGGGCUGUGGAAACACAGAGAAGGUAAUAAAAAGCAUCUCUCUCUCUCUCUCUCCAGGGGAAUAGGGGAAGGCUUUUUAGAAAAAGCGACUUUUCAACUGGCAGCUUCCUCCCAAUCUAAUUCCAUCCCACACCAAUCCUGAUAGGCUCACUGAAUAUCUACUAUGCGAAAGGCAAAGAGAAUAAAUGCAAGCAUGCGUUGUCUAAAGAGGUAUUCAGCUUCAGAUGCAAGUUCAUAUUUGUGCCUUGGGAUGGGGGACACAUAUGAACAAAACCUGGUCUUUAAGGAGCUUCCAAUCUCGCAGCAGCCCUUCCUUCUAGGGCUUCUAGUGUGUUCCCUACUCUGGUGUAGAAUUUAGAUCAGAAAGGGGGUAAAUUGGGUGUCCAUUUCGAAGCAGGGUUUCAAAGGGCAGCAGUGGAUAAUUUGUUUCUGUGGCUCCUCUGCUCUUCCUUGGAGUGGAGGUGGUACUCCAACGUGUGGUUGUCCCAGUGAUGCUACUGUGGGCAUGGGGGACAAAACAUACUUUGCUGGAUCUUCAUAGCUCCAGUUUGCAACCCUAGGUGAGGUCUGUUGAAUGCCAGCAGGAGGCAGGGAGACAUGUUUUGUGAUUUGCUUCUUGUCUGAGUGUGGCAAAAGGUAGGCAAGCCUCAGGUGCUGGACGGAGGAAGACAGAAAUCAUACUGUGGUAUCAGUACCAUUGGGAUGAUGGAGAAACCCCAGUUAGCUCCAGAGGUUUUGGUGUAUAAAUCAGCACCCAGUUAUGAGAUAAAAUAUCUGGUGUGGUUUCUAACAGAGUUAAUUUAACCGAAAGAUUUGUAAACUAGGGAUUGAAUGUGCAAAGGGAACCCUAAGACAUCAGAGUUGGCCGGGUGUGGUGGCUCAUGCUUGUAAUCCCAGCACUUUGGGAGGCCAAGGUGGGCAAAUCACUU